GCAAGGAUCUAGUCAGGAGAGAACAAUGCAACCUGCCAGCUUCACAAGGACCACGUGGCUCGGCGUCUGCAGUGUGAUAUGUGUUAAGGCCAUUUGACCAUUUGAAGUUGCGUGUAUAUCCUUACCAGAUGGAGCCGGGCCAGACAAUGCAGACUUCAUGGCUGUUGACUUCACUGACAUGCAAUUUGCAAAGCGGAGAGGAACGUAUGGAGCAUGCAAAGAGGAAAAAAGUCAAUGGGAGGAGAAAGGGGAUGCUGAAAGGUGACUCCAUGUGUGUGGUCCUCCCCUGUCAGAUGCCCUAUAGGGAGGCGUGCAUGCACCAUGUUGAUAUUCAAAAGCCUUGGAUGUUUGUUUAAACUGCCCUCAUUCUUGUGUCAGUACAAAGUGUGGGCCCUAAUCCUUUAAUGAAUGUCUUCUUCUGGGGCUUCACAUGGCAGCACAUUCCAACCUCGGGACAGUGAACAGCUGGAUGACUGUGGCGCAGGGUGUUUUAUUUUAUCCUGCAUUGUCAGAUGUUCGUGUUUGAAAAGCACAAUUUAUCUUCGUACAUAUCAGGGGUGACAGGAGCGGCAAACUGAAGGCUCACAAAAGAGAGAAAAUCAAAUCAGUUACUGGACAGACAUCAGUUUAGCAACUCACUUAUUACUGAUCAUAAAACCUACACUGGAAACUUCCUUUUAGUGUUUUUGCGGUUCUGGAUGACUUACAACACGUUUGACAGUUUCAUUUGAGAGUGGACAGGCCUUCAUUUGAAGAUCUGGUUUGAUUGAUGCAGGCAAAGAUGGAAAAAAGUACCAAGAUAUUUUACUCAAGAAGAAUAAUUGCUUCCCCAGUCUUAUGGACACAAGUCAGGGUGAAAGUAAUUGCCUAGAACAGUACUGCAGUGAAUGUAAAUCAUUUGUGUAAAAGGUUUUAUUCUUAUUGGGAACCCCAUUAGCUGACACUUCAGUGGCCGCAAAUCAUCUUGGGGUCAACAUGUCAAUUUCUUGCACAUUUCAACAUAAUUUUUGGUAAUUGUUAUCAGCUAAAGGAAUGUGAAUGUUAUAGCUUUCUCAUAUCAGAAUGUUAAGUCCACAAUAAAUGCUUUACUUCAAAAACUUACUGUACUUGCUAUUCUGCCGAAUACAAGAGCACAGCAGAAUAUUCUACUGAAGAAAAUGAUAAA